GUCUCUGACCCGGCUGUGCCUAGCUCUCAAACCAACACAGGGGUGUGUUCACUUUAACUCGGACUCUCACAAUAAGCAGAGCUCACCGGCCAUUGACAUUGAGGCAGUGGUCAGAGGAAACACAGGUCUGUGCCCCCAGAGAGGGAGAAAAACAGGGAGGGAGAAACUGAGAGAGAAACCAAAGGUCGGAGACAGUGGAGAGACAGUAAAUGACAGAGUCACGUGAGGCGGCUACUGUAUGAAACCUCAGAUCUAAUCAAUAGGAGUGAGGAGGACGCCAGGCGCCAGCCAGAGGGUCACCACUCAUCACUCAGAUAGGGAGGCAGUGUUUCUCAGCUCAGCAGCCUCCCACCUCGAAGAGAAGACACAGAGGCUUCCUGAAGAAUCAAGGUUGUAAUGGACUGGAUGUGUGCGCACGGAGGGACGGUGUGAUUACUGCACAUUACAAAAAGGUUAAAUGUACAUUUGCUUAUUUCGAUUUGCGUUAGCUCAUGUAUGCAUAUUUGUGCAUGUAUGUCAUCUAUGUGUGUGUGUGUGGAUUAGGUGGGCAUGUGUGUCCUGCAUGAGCCCUGUAGCCGAGGGGGGCACCUCUUCUUAUUAACAUCAUCAGUCUGCAUCAUUACGAGGCUGCCUGGGUUGGGCAGCAGGUGCUAUGAGAGUGCCAGGGUUACAAACGACCACAGAAUCGCUCCUUGAACACACACACACACACACACACACA